UUCAUUCAGAAGGUCAGAGGCAAUGCAGACCCCGGGUGGAGUAAACUGGAUUCCCCAGGAGAACGAUGCUGAGCCAGUGACCAUGGCAUUGGCCUCAGCAAAGGGCUGGUAGUGCUGUUUGGGGCGUGAAAGGUGCUCCAAGCAGAGCAUGCUCUGAGGACCUCGGCCUGGGUCUGCCCUCCCUGGAUGCCAGCCCUCCGCCAGUGCCCUUCCAGAUCCUCAGUCUGACCAUCCUCACACCUAGCUGCUGAUGAAGCUUCUCCACCUGCAGCUCAGAGGGAACCACAGGAGGCCCGGAGGAGGGGCCCUGCCCCAGCUAGAGCCAGGCAGUAACGCCAGGCCACGGGAUAAAAACAGAGCUGCCAGUGGCUGCUUGAAAAGCGAAUCCCAGACCCGCAGGAGCUCAGCUUCAACUGGUCGGGGCCAUCGCAAGACCGUGAGUCCUUCAGCUAUUGCCGAACCCCCAGCCCCAGCACCGUCCCCCUGCUGCCCGGCUUGCUCUGACAAAUGCUCUCAUCAGUGGGUUUCCCAGCCCAACAGCUAGGUGCCCUGGUGAUCUCAGGUGACAGAAAGUCAUACGUCAUCAGCCCACGGUGUGGUCUGGGCUGCCAGGAGGUGACAGCUUCCUCUACCACACAUUUCUGCCAUGGUCUUCUGCCUCACCACAAGCCCACAGGCACCAGGGUCAAGUGAUGUUGGACUGAAAUCCCUUAAACUAUGAGCCAAAAUAAAUUAAAUUUUCCCUCAAUUUUAA